AAUUGAAAAAAUAAAAUUCUAAAUCUCUAUGGGAACUAAAAUAAAAAUGUAAAAUUCGAUCGAAUGAAAUCUAAAAUUUUUCUACAAGCAUCAAUGUAAUCAUAUAGAGUUUUAUAACUCAUCCUCGUAAACGAAUUUACCAAGCAUAAGUGUGGGAGGAACUCUCCAUGGUUCCUCGGUCCUACACGUUUGGUGGCCGGAGAAAUUGCAAUUUAUAACGUCGAGAGCGUGAGUGCAACGGUAUAUACGUGAAGUUAUACGACGUCGUUGGCAGAGAAGAAACGAGCGAGCGAACGAACAAGCAAGCAGAGUCCAAAUGGAAUGGUCGGCAUCGAGAAAACGGUCAUCCUUUUUAAAACACAUGCUGAUCCGUUCGCAAAACGUAUAUAUGUACGCUCAUGGAAUAACUAUAAAGAAAAUGCUGACAGACUAAAAGUGAUUCUCAAUUAUGGAAUAUUGAUCGAUGGCACCACUCUAGGUAGUCGGUUCGCCACGAUCGGGCACGUCGAUCGUAUGACCUGGCACGGAGGACGUACGUGGGAUAACCGGCAUGAGAGCGCAAGCAGAGAAAGGAGAAUCGCGAUACAGCGUGGGCAAAGGAAACGUUAAGCCUCUUUCGGUAUGCCACAACCAAAAACGAUUUCGAGUUCUAUGCCUUUCUUACUCGAUGACGUUCAACGAUCCGGUUAUGAGUUUACGUUCCUAAAUGAGAUAAAUGUGUUUGAACGACACUUUCUUCGUAGGAUGAAUGCUUCGUGUCUCCCUGCAACAUGAAGUAAAUGUAUUCGAUUUCUGAUCACUUUCAUAAAAAUUAUUAUAUCAAUGAAAUUUUCAUUUGAUACACGUUUCUUGUGAUACUUUCUGAUAUAUAUACAUAUGUUUUUAUUAUAAUAAUAGAAAUGAGCAUAUAAAAUAUAUCAUAAAAUACUAAGAACAAUCAUAAGAAUCAUGAUAAAUUUCAGAUAAGAAUAAAUAAAAUGACGUAAUGUUUUGCGGUCGAUUCCGCGAAUUGAGCUACUUGGUUAAAUUAUAAACAGGAAUCAUAUAUAAAUGUGAUCUAUCUAUUGAUAUUUUGAGAAAUCGCGAGUUUCUAGAAACAUACGUUCACAUUUUGCUAUUUUUCUUAAUGAAAACGUUUUUUUGACCAUCAGUUUAUAGUAUUAUUAUCAUGUUCCUUCGUUUCAAUAUAUACAUAUCCGAUUUAAAUGAAUACACGUGAUAAUUUCUCUAAGUAUUAAAAUUGUCAAAAAAUGUUUCAAAUGAAUAUUAUAUGUAUCAAGUAGACACACCAUAAUAAUAAUUAUUUAAUUUUACGAUAAUAUUAAAAAACUCUGUGAAGCUCACGUUAAAAUUUUUAAAUGAUAUCGAAUAAUUGACAUCAAAUCAUUUUCAAAACACUACUAAUUUGUGUUUCUUACAAAUCAAUAUUGAGAUAUUAGGUCUCAAAGGUGAUAUACCGCUAUAUAUUUAUAAAGGCCGACUGAGCAAUCCGCUCACGAUAUAUAUUGGAUAACGGCAUAUGUAAUGUAAGAUAUAUUAACUUUAAGAUUUAAUAUUUCGAUAGUGAUUUAUGCAUAAGACAUAAGUAAGUAAUGUUUUGAAAACAUUUCAAUUUCGAUUAUAUUAUGCAAUGAAAAAAUUAUAGUUUUCAUUUACAAAUAUAAGCAAAAUAAAGCUUUCCAAAGUCAUCACAAAGUCAAAUAAUUAUCAUUAUAAUGAUAUGUCAUACGGCAUUCGUUUAAAAUAUUCUUUUACAUUUUUAAUAUUUACAGAACAAUCGCAUGUAUACGUAUAAACCGGACAAUUGUGUGU